AUAUAAGUUCAUAACGAUUAGGUGAAAUUCACUUAUAUUCUAGCAUCAAAUUCAUGCAUGUAAAUUAAGUAUGCAUCCUUAAUCGACAUACAAAAAUAAGUUAUCAAUCAAGCAGUUAAGCAAAUUAAAUCACAACUCAGAAAUCACAACUGAAGGUAAUCAAUUCAUAUUACAAAUAUAUACAUGGCUUUGAAUUAACCUCUAGCCAAAAUAAAUUUAGUUACACAUUAUUAAAAACAGAAAUAAAAUAUAAGUUUGGAAAGAUUUAACCGAAAGAGAAGGCAGCUUGCUGCUUCUGUCUAUCCGUGCCUUUGAACCCCUGCGAGCUGCCUUUCUUUCUCGCUGCCUAAGGCAGCUUGCUUUGCUUCUGUUUUUCAAGGCUGCAAGGGCAGCCUUUCUUCUCUUUCUCCCCGCAAGGCCC
rnacentral:lncRNA from 1 species